rnacentral:rRNA from 1 species
AUUGAACGCUGGCGGCAGGCCUAACACAUGCAAGUCGAGCGAGCGGCGGGCGGGUGAGUAAUGUCUGGGGACUGUCCGCUAGAGGGGGCUAACUACUGUCAACGGUGGCUAAUACCGCAUACCGUCUGAUCACCCAGAUGGGAUUAGCUAGUAGGUAAGGUAAUGGCUUACCUAGGCGACGAUCCCUAGAUGGUCUGAGAGGAUGAUCAGCCACACUGGGACUGAGACACGGCACAGACUCCUACGGAGGCAGCAGUGGGGAAGAUUGCACAAUGGGCGAAAGCCUGAUGCAGCCAUGCCGCGUGUAUGAAGAAGGCCCUAGGGUUGUAAAGUACUGUCAGUAGGGAGGCGUUACCGACAGAAGAAGCACCGGCUAACUCCGUGCCAGCAGCCGCGGUAAUUC